GACGAACGCUGGCGGCGUGCUUAACACAUGCAAGUCGUACGGUAAGGCCCUUCCGGGGGUACACGAGUGGCGAACGGGCGAGUAACACGUGAGUAACCUACCCACACCUUUCUGAUAACGCAAGGAAACUGGUGCUAAUACUUGAUAUGUGCUCCUGCUGCAUGGUGGGGGGUGGAAAGCUCGGGCGGUUGUGGAUGGACUCGCGGCCUAUCAGCUUGUUGGUGGGGUAGUGGCCUACCAAGGGGGCGGCGGGUAGCCGGCCUGGGAGGGUGACCGGCCACCUUUGGGCUGAGAUACGGCCCAGACUCCUACGGGGGGGAGCAGUGGGGGAUAUUGCACCAUGGGCGCGAGCCUGAUGCCGGCACGCCGCGUGCGGGAUGACGGCCUUCCGGUUGUAAACCGCUUUCCGCAGGGACGGAGCUUUUUGUGACGGUACCUGGAGAAGAAGCACCGGCUAACUACGUG
rnacentral:rRNA from 1 species